GGAAUGAACUCGAGUUCGAUCUUCUGCGGGUGGCUGUCGUUCCAGUCGGCGACCGUCUUCUCGAACCAUGCGACCUGGCUCGCCACCGGCCCGCCGGGUGCGUAGAACU
rnacentral:sRNA from 1 species